GACGAAGGGGGCUAGCGUUGUUCGGAAUUACUGGGCGUAAAGCGAGUGUAGGUGGUUGUCCAAGUUGGAUGUGAAAGCCUUGAGCUCAACUCAAGAAAUGCAUUCAGGACUGGAUGGCUAGAGGACCGGAGAGGAUAGUGGAAUUCCCAGUGUAGUGGUGAAAUACGUAGAGAUUGGGAAGAACACCAGUGGCGAAGGCGGCUAUCUGGACGGUUUCUGACACUAAGACUCGAAAAGCGUGGGGAGCAAACAGG
rnacentral:rRNA from 1 species